UUAGUCUCAAACAGGAAGAGGAAGUUUCUAGUCACUAAGUGGCUACCGACGGAGAUCUGAAAUAAAGAAGGAAAGAGGCAAGUUAUGCACACGACAUUUGCUUAUGGGACAGCUCUACUGCUUCUGCUUAAAAAAUGCUUAAAGGAGAAGUUACUGAAAACAAAGAAAGAGGUAGCAGCCUGGAGGUUGUUGAAAGAUUAGAAGAAUGUAGAACUAAGUUACUGAAAACAAGGAAGAAGGUAGCAGCCUGGAAGUUGUUGAAAGAUUAACCAAAUAUCAUAUCAAAAGAAUGUAGAACUCUGACUAAUGUCGACAAACAAGGUAAAAAACUGUCCAAAUGAAGAACUGCAGCAGCUUGAUAAGCAAAUAGAAUCUCUGGAGAUAUUGAAAUUACUGCAUAUCCGUGAACCAGAGGUGUCUCAAUAAAAUUAGUGGUCUAAACCCUUUUAACAGGAGCUCUUACAUAUAUAAACAAUCAAAAAAAAAAAUACACUCUAAUAAUGUCUUAUUUGUUCGUAGUUGUUUCGAUGUAGUAUUUUUAAAAGACACCUAAGUUUUAACUUCACAUAUUAAUAUGAUUAUUAAUAAUAAAAGUAAGAAUUAAUUCUUGUUAAUAA